UACGGAGGGGGCUAGCGUUGUUCGGAAUUACUGGGCGUAAAGCGCACGUAGGCGGCUUUGUAAGUUAGAGGUGAAAGCCCGGGGCUCAACUCCGGAAUUGCCUUUAAGACUGCAUCGCUAGAAUUGUGGAGAGGUAAGUGGAAUUCCGAGUGUAGAGGUGAAAUUCGUAGAUAUUCGGAAGAACACCAGUGGCGAAGGCGGCUCACUGGCUCGUGACUGACGCUCAUGCACGACAGCGUGGGGAUCAAACAGG
rnacentral:rRNA from 1 species